UUGUCAUGUACUCUUUUAUAGUUCAUCGCAGUUCUGCUCAUUCUUCUCCUUCUCGUAUACUCAGUCUGUCUAUAUUUCGAACUUCAAAAUCAGAGGAAAGAAAAGAAGGGAAGCCAUAACAGAGAUACCAAAAGGAAGACAUGUUUUACUCUCACUGCUUUCUCUCAAGGAAAGGUCCAUUAGGUGCUGUAUGGGUGGCUGCUUACUGCUACAAGAAGCUCAAGAAAGCUCAGGUCACUCAGACUGAUAUCUCCUAUUCUGUUGAUAAAAUUUUGCAAGAUGAAUUUGAUGUUGUCACAUAUAGGGUACUUGCCUAUCUGCUUCUUGGUGUUGUCAGAAUAUUCUCCAAAAAGGUUGAAUAUCUGUUCGAUGACUGCAACAAGUUGCUGCUUAAAACCAAGGAAUUUGUAGUUAACAAUAAAGAUAGGUCACUUGUGGAAACCCUAUGUGCACCUUAUUUCUCUAUUACCCUGCCAGAAAGAUUUGAACUUGAUGCUUUUGAUCUAGAGAUCUUAGAAGAUUCUAGCGGAGGCAAUGCGAUGCCCCAUGAAGAUAUCACGCUUAAAGAUAGCAUAUGGAAAAAUGGGGGAAUAGGGUCACACAAUAUGGACAAGAUGCAGUAUCAUUGUAAGGAAUUUACUGCCUGUCAAGAUGUUUGCUCUGCAAUUCGCGCUUUAAAUGAAGAUAUUGUUUCUUCUUACCAGUUAGACUUUGACAUGGAGGUAGGCACAUCCCAUAAUUUAAGCAACUCAGAAGCAAUUAUAGAGAAGGUUCAGGGCAGUAGGUCCUCUGAAAAAGAAUCCAAGGACCUUGAAAUGAUUUCUAUGGUUGAGGAAGAGCCUCCUGACCCUGCAAAAUCGUUUGGUGAAGAUCAGCAAAAUAAAGAAGAGCAUGCAACUACAAGAGUUCUAGAAGUGGAAGCUUCAGAUCAAUGGCAUGCAGAAUCAAGUGUGCAGGAGCUUUGGGAUAAGAGUAUCUGCCAAGAAGCAUGUUUGAACCUUGAAAUGUUUGUGGAGGUCGAGGAAGAACCUGCAAGACCUUCUAGGCCAUCCAAUGAAAAUCAGACUGAUAGACAACAGAUAAAGCUUCCAGAUAUGGCACAAUCAGAAAGUGAAAAUCACCAGGUUACUAAAGAGGACUGUAAUCUAAGUAAUACUGAAGCAAGCAUGGAGAAGCUUCGAGUCAAUAUAGUCUAUCAAGAAUAUAGAGAUGUGGAAAUGUAUGAUAUGGUUGAGGAGCCCCAUGAACACAGCAUACCAGUUGAUGAAGAGCAUCAUAGUGCAGAGGAGAAAAGGUUAUUAGAGGUUGAGGAGCAUCGAGAAAAUACUGGAUCAUUUGAUGAAGAGCAUCAGACUGAUGCAGAUCUAAAAACUCCAUUGGUAAUGACAUCCCCAGGUUGCACAUAUCGGGUUUCUAGAGAAGACCAUACAUUCUCUGUAACAAUUGAUACGACUCCUCAGUCCAAGUUCCCAGGUGCUUCAGGAGUUACUACACCAGAGUUUUUGGUUAUUCCUACCCCAUCUGCUAAGGAGGGUGCUCGGGCAAUGAGGAAAAGAAAGUGUGUGUUUGAUGAUAUGAUAGUGUUUCCUAACAAUAUAAUCAAGCAAAGCAUAGAGGAUUCAAGCAACUUGGUGACUAAACGAAGAAAAGCUCCUCAUACUGCUCUUGCUGCUUGGAGAGCCUGCCGAGUUUCCAGUCUUCCUUGGUGUUUCAUGGAGCCUCUGAUUCCUUGUACAUCAACAGAGCUCAGAUCCCUCUUUUGCAAUGCGAAACAUCCUCAAAAGUUCAGGUCUCAAUGUCUUAUUGAUAGAUCAUUAGAAACUGUUGAACCUUCAGAGAAGUUAGACAAGCCAAAAUCUUGUGAUGAUCAUAGAUCAGUUGAAAGUAUGAAGUCUCUUGAAAAGUUAAAUGUGACAACAUUUCCUACUGUUGGUAGAUCAGUUCAAACUGUGGAACCUCCAGAAAUGUUGGACUUGCCUGAAACUCCAACUGCUGGUAGAUUUCUAGAGCAAAUGGCAAUUGCUCCUGAAACGCCUAUUCUACACACAAAAUCACUGAGGUCUUUUGAAAGCCCUGAAAGACCUGAAAUUUCUAAUUUAGAUAAAGUCAGAUUAGAGUCUGAUAAAGUGGAGAAAGAGAUUUAUUCUAGCAAGGAACAAGAAAUUGACCUUAGUAUGAUGAAUGAGGAGAUAAAUUUGUUUGAAGUACAUAACCAGGAUCAGUAUGGGUGGUCAGAAAGAACCAGUUGUGGUGUAGAGUGGUAGCGAGUUGCUUGCAUAAAAGCUAUUUAGAUAAAAGGAAAAGAAGAGAGGAGGAAGUAGUAAAUUUGCUGCAUCUUUUGGAAGGAAGAACCAAGAAAGAAAGUGCAAGGCUCUUUUAUGAGAUAUUGGUGUUAAAAAGUAAAGGAUAUGUGCAUGUGGAACAGAAAACUGCCUAUGGUGACAUUCUCGUGUGGAAAGCCUCUCAAUGGGAACAGGCUCAGGGUGUAGAUUGUGUUAAUGCUGCUGCUGGAACCACGUACCUUUUGCAGGAACCUUAAACCAUGUUGAGAGGAGUUAUUUAUUUUAUCCAAGCAUGCCAUUAGUAUGUUAACUAUCUCAGAUGUGACAAUUUUUGGAAAUGUGAUGCAAAAGCUAAGUGGUGUUCAUAAAUUUGCUGGUGUUGACAAGGAUAUGUGCAUGUUGAACAGAAAACCGCCUGUGGUGACGUGCUCAUGUGGAAAGCCUCUCAGUGACGACAACCUUGUAGUGUAGGUUGUGUUAAAGCUCCUGCUGCAACCGUGCAUAUUUGCAUGAAUCUUAAACCAUGUUAGGAAGAGUUAUUUUUAUUUUGGGGCAGUCUUAUGUGUAAAGUUUUUGCAAGGGGAUCCAUGUACUUCAUUAUAGGUAAUCCUAAACCAUCUUAGAUGAGUCAUUUUAGGAAGUAGCUUUUAGUAUGGAGAAUUUUCAGUUCACAUAGGCUAUAGAUUAGGAGUAGCUUUCUUUAUUCACAGAAUGAUACAAGCAAAACUGAAAUGGAAAGAAUCCAGCUUUUUGAAUGAGCUUUAAAAUGAAAAGAAAUGGUUUCAAAAA